rnacentral:rRNA from 1 species
GGCGGACGGGUUAGUAACGCGUGGGAACGUGCCUUUUGCUCUGGAAUAGCUCUGGGAAACUGGGGGUAAUACCGGAUGUGCCCUGAGGGGGAAAGAUUUAUCGGCAAGAGAUCGGCCCGCGUCUGAUUAGGUAGUUGGUGUGGUAAUGGCGCACCAAGCCGACGAUCGGUAGCUGGUUUGAGAGGAUGAUCAGCAACACUGGGACUGAGACACGGCCCAGACUCCUACGGGAGGCAGCAGAGGGGAAUCUUAACAAUGGGCAGCAAGACCUGAUCUAGCCAUGCCGCGUGGGUGAUGAAGGCCUUAGGGUACGUAAAAGCCCUUUCGACGGGGCAAGAUAGAUGACGGUAACACGGUAAAGAACCACC